rnacentral:rRNA from 1 species
GACGAACGCUGGCGGCGUGCCUAAUACAUGCAAGUUGAGCGAUGAAGAUUGGUGCUUGCACCAAUUUGAAGAGCAGCGAACGGGUGAGUAACGCGUGGGGAAUCUGCCUUUGAGCGGGGGACAACAUUUGGAAACGAAUGCUAAUACCGCAUAACAACUUUAAACAUAAGUUUUAAGUUUGAAAGAUGCAAUUGCAUCACUCAAGGAUGAUCCCGCGUUGUAUUAGCUAGUUGGUGAGGUAAAGGCUCACCAAGGCGAUGAUACAUAGCCGACCUGAGAGGGUGAUCGGCCCCAUUGGGACUGAGACACGGCCCAAACUCCUACGGGAGGCAGCAGUAGGGAAUCUUCGGCAAUGGACGAAAGUCUGACCGAGCAACGCCGCGUGAGUGAAGAAGGUUUUCGGAUCGUAAAACUCUGUUGGUAGAGAAGAACGUUGGUGAGAGUGGAAAGCUCAUCAAGUGACGGUAACUACCCAGAAAGGGACGGCUAACUACGUG